UGUGGGUGUUGUGGAGGAGGAGAUGAGGGAGUUUCUCUCUGUCUCUUAUUGUAGUACCUAAGAGGCUAAACCAGGGGAGGAUGGUUACAGUAGGUUACAGAACCCUGAAAAAGUCUAUGAAGCUUUGUCGCCAAGCUAAGAUGCUUUAUAACCACUCUAUGAAGCUCCACACGGUAGAGUCUGACCUUUAACCCACAUGCACAGUAUGUAGGUAAAAGUUCAGACAAAAACGUGGGGGAGACAGAGAUAGCAACAGUAGGGAGAGGUGAAUGACAAUAGAGGACCAGGCCGGUCAAACUAUUUAUAUCUACUACAUUGUUAUGUAUCCACACUAUGUACCCUUCUAGUGUCUAGGGCAGAGCACAUGACUUCCUGGUUCUCUAGCUACCCAUGGACAGCAGGUGUAAAACACCGGUGACAAUUUAUCACUCACAACGCUGACAUUGAGACACUGACUAGACCAGAGCUCUCCAACCCUGUUCCUGGAGAGCUACCCUCCUGCAGCUUUUAACCCCAGUUGUAACUAACCGGAUUUAGCUUAUCAACCAGCUGGGUUAUUAGAAUCAGGUUCGCCGGUUUAGGGUUGGAGUGAAAUCCGUGAGGACGGUCGCUCUCCAGGAACAGCGUUGGAGAUCCCAGUUCUAGAGUCAGUGUGUCUCAAGUCAGUGUUGUGAGUGAUAGACUGUCACCAGUGUUUUACACCUGCUGCCCAUGGGUAGCUAGAGAACCAGGAAGUCAAGUUAAAGCUGUUCUGUUUGCAGACUGAGGCUGUGUUCAGAGUGAACAUCUAUUCCCUACAUAGUGCACACUAGGCAAUAGUGUGCCAUUUGGGACGCACAUUCAGUGUCCUUUCCAAGCUAAAAUACAUUUGGCUUAUCGUUGAAUCCCCUAUGGUGAGGUGAGAGCCAGCAAGGUUUGUAUUUAUAUCUAUAGGCUAACUCCACAUGAGAUGGAGUUGAAGGCCCGUCACCUGCUGAUAUUAGGAUACAUGAUACAGUAAGGCCCCUUAAACACACACUCACACACACACACACUUUAUACACAGACAGAAGAGUCUAUUCCUCUCCUAAACUGCUUACUGCUUAGCCAGUGACAUUUAAGAGGCUACGACGACAGUUAGCUAGAGUUUCAGAUUUGUGUGUGGGUGCAUGUGUAGAUGUGUAGAUGUGUGUGUGUGUGAGUGAGUGCGUGUCUGUGUGUGUAAUCUGUCGAUGUGUCACAGUGUCUGGUUGCACGGCGAGAGACACAGAGACCCUUUUCAGACAGAUUUCUCAGAUGGUUGUGAAUGGAAAGUCUGGUUGUGUCCCAAAUGGCACCAUGCUACCUAUGUAGGGUACUACUUUUAACUAGGGCCCAUAGGGAAUAGGGCAAGAUUUAGGGCAACAACUCUGCGAAAGAGAGAACGGGGGGAAGGGGCAGAGGAAAAAGAGGGAAAGGGGAGAGGUUAGGGAAAAGAGAGAGAGUUUUUCAGAUGCUUGUUGUGGGUUUUGGAGAGAGACAGAUUGGUACCUACAGUACUGUCUGGUUUUAUGGCUGUUGGAAGCUGCUGCUGGUGAAAGUGGUUUUGGCUGGGUGUUUAAUAAGGAUCUAGGACUGCGUGGAAUGGAUUCAAACAGCUGUCUCGACCAGUUAUUGGGAUCGAGUAACCACGAGUAAUGUAGAUGUACACACACACAGACACACACACACACUUGCAACAUAUGUAACACACACACACCCACACACACACGCUUGCACAUUUAACACAUUUGAAAACUAUUUUUUCACAAUCCUAUUUUUCUAUAUCUUCUAAAUGAGUGAAAGCAAAGACCCUAAUGCAUGUUUUAUUAUGGCCUUGUCAACUUCAGAAAGGGCUGUUGAAUUUAUAUUUCAUUUUGUUCUCAGUUUUUCAUCCAUUCAUUUAUUUGUUUAUUUCUCCUUCUUUUAACCCUCUGUAUUCAGACACAUCUUAAUCUAUGACAAAGAUUAGGAUAAUUUUGUGACCCCAUUUUUGUCUGAACCUGGGAAAGGAAUCAAGAAGAAAAGCACAAAUGAACCCUUGAUUGCCUGACUACUAGCAAAUAUAAAGUCUUUGCCAAAUUAUAAAUUCAACUAAAACCACCAUCAAAACAAAACUGGAAAUAAACUGGAAAGACACAACAAAACUGAAAAGGCAGCUGGAAUUGACCAGUGGGUACAAGCUUUUGAAGUGUGUUCUUCUUAAUGUCCUGCUUAAGGGAAAAACUAAGAAAAAACCCUUGUGAGAAAAAAAAAACAAAUCUAAUCUUACUACUUGGCCAUACUGCACCAUGCCAAUGCCUCUUUUGUGAACAACUACUGUAUGUGUGCUCUUGUGCAAUUAUCUCUUAUGUUACUGUUGAUGCGAAAUACUGUAAGGAACAUGGGAGUGGUAGAAACCGUAGGAAUAGAAACAUGGCCGCUGUUACUGUUGAUUUGAAUGUGAAUGGCCGUUCUAGGAAUUCUAUUUCGAUGGGCGAGAAACGCAGCUGGACCUUCUACCCUAUCAAUCUGUGACCAUGCAUAUAGCCCAAGUGUUGUGAUACCUAAUGAUGCUAACCGUGCUACAUGCAUGUUAUCCAACCCAAAUUAUCAUCUGACUGUCCUGCAUAUACAGUACAGUAAUAUAUGUGGCCUGGUCACGUUUGUGUGUACAUUGUAAAUAACCUAAAAGCCUAUCUAUCCAUCUAAAGGGCAGAAAACAAGACACAGCAUAUUGUAAUUUUGUACGUUUGAACAGAGAUUUCAGAUGCUAUGUGCAAGAUAAAAACAAACACUAAAACACAGUUUCUGGUUACGUCUCCACACCCAAGUUCUGAAAACAUUUUAUAUGGGGAAUGAUUUUUCUGUAACACCAGAUGUAAAGGGGGGGAGGGUAGAUUUCUGUGUAACACCAGACAUGGUCAUUCAGUGGGUUUUCAUUCAAUUCAAUUCAAACUUAUUAGAGCUUUGUGAUGAAAUAGUCCACCAGCACAUUCAUUCCUUAGGUAAUGUUGAGUGAAUACUCUUACUCCGUUUCCUUAUUUCUUUCUUCUUCACAUCCAAACAUGUAAAGAAAAGAAACAGCAUAUUAUUCCCUUUAUAAGGUGGAAUCCACCUGAACACUGGGGUUUUUUGGGGUCUGAAGUCGUACCAAAGACUUCUCAGAUGGUCUCCCAAGGCAACGCAGCAAAGACCCAACUGUCAAUCUAUAUAUUAUUGUUAUCAGAAUCAGCUUUGGUUAUCUAUGAUAACAAGGUCCAAACACAGCUUCUCUGUACGACCUACUAUACAAAUUCUCCUAAAUGUACCUGUGCAGAAAUUGACCGAUUCCAAUAACUGCUGAGCCUGAAAGAGAUUUAAAAAUAAUUAGAGAUAUUUUGAGAUUAGAUAUAUCUGGAUACGCUGAAUAAUCAAAUUAAACAAACAGACAGCUGAGGUUAAAGACAUGGCCGCUCAUGAUUGUUGCUCAUGAUUGUUUUUAUUUUUCAACAACAAGAAAUACUCACACUUACCUUGCCAAGCUUUCACUAUAGCGGUCCAACUAAAUGACCAAUGUCUGAAUAAACACACAUACCGUAUAUAGAUUUAGGUUAGAUGAAAAUGCCCAGACCUUGACCCCUGCUCGGAACCACCAAGGUCAUAGGUCAAAGGUCAUAGAGCAAAGGUUAUGGUUCCGGAGUUUUCAUUUAGCCCUUUUUCCUUGAUAUGGCUGCAGCUGUUGAGUAUCCGCUAGAGUUUCACGAUUAUAUACGGACGCACAGUACAGUGUAAAAUAUAUUGUACGUUGAAGCCUAUAUGUCAUUGACUCACAGUUAUAACAGGUUAUAACCAAGAUCCUGUGAGAUAAAAGACAGGAUAUAUAUUCAUUUAUCUCGUAACUUUACAGUUUUAAAUCAUUUUAGUGAGACUUCUUAUUGGAUUCACAGCUGUGUGUCUGUCGAGGUGGUAAAUACAGUGGUCAUGCCAUUUGAAGGUAUGCUGGUAAUCUGGAAAAAAUGUAUCUUUUUUUUUUCUUGGUCCUUCUAUUCAUUUUAAUAUUUUAUUUUAUUCCCAACUUUCUCUGCUUAUUCUCAAGCGGUGAUUUGGAGAAUUUUCUUUUCUCAUUUUUUUUUCUCAUUUUUUAAAUGUAUUAUUAUGUUUUUUGAUUCUUAUUAUUUUUCAGUUAUCAGAAGCUAUUUUUUUGUGAGACUGAGAUGCAAAACUAUUUUAAAUACAAUACUUAAAAAAACGACUUUACAAUCUACGAGAGAUCUAUGGGAUGUGUUUUUUUCUCUCUCCAAUUCGGAUGCAAAAAUGUGUGUAUGUUGGGGAUUGACAAUGGGUAUGGAACAGAAACAUGUGGCUAGGUUUACACGGAGUCCGACCACACUCAGCAUAAUACUUAAGAAACGUCUUAAGACAAUACGUAAGAUGCUAAUUAAUAAGAUAUGCAUUUUUACUUUGUCUAGGGCAAUACUUAUUCCUGUUUUGACCUAAUAUUCGAGUUAUGCAUUUUUUUAAGUUGUCAAGGCUAGGCAGGUUAGCUAGUAUUAUUAACGUUGUAAAAACUAGACAGGUUAGCUAGUAUUAUUAACGUUGUAAAAACUAGACAGGUUAGCUAGUAUUAUUAACGUUGUAAAAACUAGACAGGUUAGCUAGUAUUAUUAACGUUGUAAAAACUAGACAGGUUAGCUAGUAUUAUUAACGUUGUAAAAACUAGACAGGUUAGCUAGUAUUAUUAACGUUGUAAAAACUAGACAGGUUAGCUAGUAUUAUUAACGUUGUAUAGAUAUUAAUGUUGUGCUACUAUUCUUUUGGGGGAAAGUAUAGACUUAGGUAUGGGGCACAGGAUAGAUGUUAAAGUUAAAUAACACACCUCACACACACACACUCCCAAAAUGAUUUUUCAGUGUAAACCUAGCCAUAUACUUACAUGGAAUACAAUUUUUUGAAUGCUUUAUAAUCAUAAAGUGAUUGCUACAAAUGGGUUAGUAGUAGUAUUUAGUGAUAAAAAAAUAUAUAUUUUUAAUUUUGCUUGCAUUUAUAUAAUAUUGUUGUAGUAGUAGUAAUACUGUAAAAAAAUGUGUACAUUUCAACAUACCUCCCUUUCUCUCCAUUCUCUGGAUAAGUAGUUUAAUCAAGGACAUUUUAACAUCUACAAACAUAUAAACCUUAUUAAGUGUAUAUUGCAACAUUGUUAAGGACAAAACAGCCGUGGAACACAGUAACUUUGUUUAAUUAUAGAAACUAUUGUGAAGUCAAGUCCAGGCUGUUUAUGUAUGUAGUAGUAUUUGAGUAGUAUUUUUGUCGUAGUAUAUUCUGAGAUGAAGUAAUGAUGAAAGUAACAAACAUGGCAGAAAUGCAUAUUGUUAGAAAAUGAAACUCCGCACUACAGACGGAUGUUUUCAAAAGUUAUUUGUUGAUUGUUUCUUUAUUAUCAUUUUUGUUCUUUUUUUUACAUUUAUUUUUUACUUUCUCUGUUCAGAUUUUUGCCUUUGUUAGGUGUUGUUAGCUAAAAAGAUAACAUUUUUUAAAAACGAAACAACAAGGGCAUGUCAGAAUGUUAAGCUCUUUCUAUAUAUUAAAAGAGCUCACUUUUUGUGUUAGAGUUACGGAAAUUUACAAGGACAAAAAAAAGAAAAGAAAACAAGAGAAAUAAAGGUGGGGUGGUGAGAUGUGUGUGUUUUACAGGGGCACAAACAAACAAAACACCAAUACCACGUGAGAGUGUUAUUACGCAUCGCAAUGUACAAACACACAAACAGACACCGAAUUUUCCCCCAAGCACUUCUAGCCUACCCAAUUGACCAAAACUGGC
ensembl:lncRNA